GAUGAACGCUGGCGGCGUGCCUAAUACAUGCAAGUCGAGCGAACAGAUGAGGAGCUUGCUCCUCUGACGUUAGCGGCGGACGGGUGAGUAACACGUGGAUAACCUACCUAUAAGACUGGGAUAACUUCGGGAAACCGGAGCUAAUACCGGAUAAUAUAUUGAACCGCAUGGUUCAAUAGUGAAAGACGGUUUUGCUGUCACUUAUAGAUGGAUCCGCGCCGCAUUAGCUAGUUGGUGAGGUAACGGCUUACCAAGGCAACGAUGCGUAGCCGACCUGAGAGGGUGAUCAGCCACACUGGAACUGAGACACGGUCCAGACUCCUACGGGAGGCAGCAGUAGGGAAUCUUCCGCAAUGGGCGAAAGCCUGACGGAGCAACGCCGCGUGAGUGAUGAAGGUCUUCGGAUCGUAAAACUCUGUUAUCAGGGAAGAACAAAUGUGUAAGUAACUAUGCACGUCUUGACGGUACCUGAACAGAAAGCAACGGCUAACUACGUG
rnacentral:rRNA from 1 species